rnacentral:misc_RNA from 1 species
UUUAGAGGAAGGAGAAGUUGUAACAAGGUUUCCGUAGGUGAACCUGCGGAAGGAUCAUUGUCGAAACCUGCAAGGCAGACCAGCGAACUCGUUUCUCACAACAUGUACAUGGGGGCGACGGCGUCCCGAAGCAGGCCACGCUUGCCUCGUGUCGUUGGCGCCCCCGUUCCGCCGCAAGGGUGCUCGCACCCGUUGCGCGGCCUAACCAACCCCGGCGCGGAAAGCGUCAAGGAACACGAAAACAUUGCCUCCCCGUCGGUGCCCCGCUCGCGGUGCGCACCAUUGGGGAACGGGCGUGUGUCCAAAUCUAAAACGACUCUCGGCAACGGAUAUCUCGGCUCUCGCAUCGAUGAAGAACGCAGCAAAAUGCGAUACUUGGUGUGAAUUGCAGAAUCCCGUGAACCAUCGAGUUUUUGAACGCAAGUUGCGCCCGAAGCAUUCGUGCUGAGGGCACGUCUGCCUGGGCGUCACGCAUCACGUCGCCCUUCGCCAGCGGCCCCUCGGGGAUCCGUCGGCGUUGGGUUGGAAGUUGGCCUCCCGUGCGCCCGACCGCGCGGCUGGCCCAAAUUGGAUCCGGCACUGGCGCGUGCCUCGACAAUUGGUGGUUGAACUACUCAACUUGCGUGUUGUCGGGCUCCAGCGCGCCACUAGCUUUCCGGAUGCGUUGGCCCUCACGGUGCAUUGCACCCUCGACUGCGACCCCAGGUCAGGCGGGACUACCCGCUGAGUUUAA